CAGCAGCCGCGGUAAUACGGAGGGGGCUAGCGUUGUUCGGAAUUACUGGGCGUAAAGCGCACGUAGGCGGCUUUGUAAGUUAGAGGUGAAAGCCUGGGGCUCAACUCCAGAAUUGCCUUUAAGACUGCAUCGCUUGAACGUCGGAGAGGUGAGUGGAAUUCCGAGUGUAGAGGUGAAAUUCGUAGAUAUUCGGAAGAACACCAGUGGCGAAGGCGGCUUACUGGCUCAUUCUAGACGCUGAGGUGCGAAAGCGUGGGGAGCAAACAGGAUUAGAUACCCCUGUAGUCCCUGUCUCUUAUAC
rnacentral:rRNA from 1 species